rnacentral:rRNA from 1 species
ACUCGUAGACUCCUACGGGAGGCAGCAGUGGGGAAUAUUGGACAAUGGGGGAACCCUGAUCCAGCCAUGCCGCGUGUGUGAAGAAGGCCUUAUGGUUGUAAAGCACUUUAAGCGAGGAGGAGGCUCUUUUGGUUAAUACCCAAGAUGAGUGGACGUUACUCGCAGAAUAAGCACCGGCUAACUCUGUGCCAGCAGCCGCGGUAAUACAGAGGGUGCGAGCGUUAAUCGGAUUUACUGGGCGUAAAGCGUGCGUAGGCGGCUUUUUAAGUCGGAUGUGAAAUCCCCGAGCUUAACUUGGGAAUUGCAUUCGAUACUGGGGAGCUAGAGUAUGGGAGAGGAUGGUAGAAUUCCAGGUGUAGCGGUGAAAUGCGUAGAGAUCUGGAGGAAUACCGAUGGCGAAGGCAGCCAUCUGGCCUAAUACUGACGCUGAGGUACGAAAGCAUGGGGAGCAAACAGGAUUAGAUACCCUGGUAG